rnacentral:rRNA from 1 species
UUAAGCGACUAAGCGUACACGGUGGAUGCCCUGGCAGUCAGAGGCGAUGAAGGGCGUGCUAAUCUGCGAUAAGCGCCGGUAAGGUGAUAUGAACCGCAAUAACCGGCGAUACCCGAAUGGGGAAACCCAGUGUGUUUCGACACACUAUCAUGCAGUGAAUACAUAGCUGUAUGAGGCGAACCGGGGGAACUGAAACAUCUAAGUACCCCGAGGAAAAGAAAUCAACCGAGAUUCCCCCAGUAGCGGCGAGCGAACGGGGAGGAGCCCAGAACCAUCAUCAGCUUGUGCAUCAGUGGAAGCGUCUGGAAAGUCGCAGGGUACAGGGUGAUACUCCCGUACACAAAGGUGCACAGGCUGUGAGUUCGAUGAGUAAGGCGGGACACGUGGUAUCCUGUCUGAAUAUGGGGGGACCAUCCUCCAAGGCUAAAUACUCCUGACUGACCGAUAGUGAACCAGUACCGUGAGGGAAAGGCGAAAAGAACCCCGGCGAGGGGAGUGAAACAGAACCUGAAACCGUGUACGUACAAGCAGUGGGAGCCUCUUUAUGGGGUGACUGCGUACCUUUUGUAUAAUGGGUCAGCGACUUAUAUUCUGUAGCAAGGUUAACCGCAUAGGGGAGCCGCAGGGAAACCGAGUCUUAACUGGGCGUUAAGUUGCAGGGUAUAGACCCGAAACCCGGUGAUCUAGCCAUGGGCAGGUUGAAGGUUGGGUAACACUAACUGGAGGACCGAACCGACUAAUGUUGAAAAAUUAGCGGAUGACCUGUGGCUGGGGGUGAAAGGCCAAUCAAACCGGGAGAUAGCUGGUUCUCCCCGAAAGCUAUUUAGGUAGCGCCUCGUGAACUCAUCUCCGGGGGUAGAGCACUGUUUCGGCUAGGGGGCCAUCCCGGCUUACCAACCCGAUGCAAACUGCGAAUACCGGAGAAUGUUAUCACGGGAGACACACGGCGGGUGCUAACGUCCGUCGUGAAGAGGGNNCCAGGAUGUUGGCUUAGAAGCAGCCAUCAUUUAAAGAAAGCGUAAUAGCUCACUGGUCGAGUCGGCCUGCGCGGAAGAUGUAACGGGGCUAAACCAUGCACCGAAGCUGCGGCAGCGACGCUUAUGCGUUGUUGGGUAGGGGAGCGUUCUGUAAGCCGUCGAAGGUGUGCUGUGAGGCAUGCUGGAGGUAUCAGAAGUGCGAAUGCUGACAUAAGUAACGAUAAACAAGGUGAAAAACCUUGUCGCCGGAAGACCAAGGGUUCCUGUUCAACGUUAAUCGGAGCAGGGUGAGUCGACCCCUAAGGCGAGGCCGAAAGGCGUAGUCGAUGGGAAACAGGUUAAUAUUCCUGUACUUGGUGUUACUGCGAAGGGGGGACGGAGAAGGCUAUAUCAGCCGGGCGACGGUUGUCCCGGUUUAAGCGUGUAGGUGUGUGUUCCAGGCAAAUCCGGUUCACUUUACACUGAGGCGUGACGACGAGGCACUACGGUGCUGAAGUGAUAAAUGCCCUGCUUCCAGGAAAAGCCUCUAAGCAUCAGGUAACACAAAAUCGUACCCCAAACCGACACAGGUGGUCAGGUAGAGUAUACCAAGGCGCUUGAGAGAACUCGGGUGAAGGAACUAGGCAAAAUGGUGCCGUAACUUCGGGAGAAGGCACGCUGGCGCGUAGGUGAAGGGACUUGCUCCCGGAGCCGAAGCCAGUCGAAGAUACCAGCUGGCUGCAACUGUUUAUUAAAAACACAGCACUGUGCAAACACGAAAGUGGACGUAUACGGUGUGACGCCUGCCCGGUGCCGGAAGGUUAAUUGAUGGGGUUAUCCGCAAGGAGAAGCUCUUGAUCGAAGCCCCGGUAAACGGCGGCCGUAACUAUAACGGUCCUAAGGUAGCGAAAUUCCUUGUCGGGUAAGUUCCGACCUGCACGAAUGGCGUAAUGAUGGCCAGGCUGUCUCCACCCGAGACUCAGUGAAAUUGAAAUCGCUGUGAAGAUGCAGUGUACCCGCGGCAAGACGGAAAGACCCCGUGAACCUUUACUACAGCUUGACACUGAACACUGAGCCUUGAUGUGUAGGAUAGGUGGGAGGCUUUGAAGCGUGGACGCCAGUCUGCGUGGAGCCGGCCUUGAAAUACCACCCUUUAAUGUUUGGUGUUCUAACGUAGGCCCGUAAUCCGGGCUGCGGACAGUGUCUGGUGGGUAGUUUGACUGGGGCGGUCUCCUCCCAAAGCGUAACGGAGGAGCACGAAGGUUGGCUAAUCCUGGUCGGACAUCAGGAGGUUAGUGCAAUGGCAUAAGCCAGCUUGACUGCGAGAGUGACGGCUCGAGCAGGUGCGAAAGCAGGUCAUAGUGAUCCGGUGGUUCUGAAUGGAAGGGCCAUCGCUCAACGGAUAAAAGGUACUCCGGGGAUAACAGGCUGAUACCGCCCAAGAGUUCAUAUCGACGGCGGUGUUUGGCACCUCGAUGUCGGCUCAUCACAUCCUGGGGCUGAAGUAGGUCCCAAGGGUACGGCUGUUCGCCGUUUAAAGUGGUACGCGAGCUGGGUUUAGAACGUCGUGAGACAGUUCGGUCCCUAUCUGCCGUGGGCGCUGGAGAAUUGAGGGGGGUUGCUCCUAGUACGAGAGGACCGGAGUGAACGCACCGCUGGUGUCCGGGUUGUCACGCCAGUGGCACUGCCCGGUAGCUAAGUGCGGAAAAGAUAAGUGCUGAAAGCAUCUAAGCACGAAACUUGCCCCGAGAUGAGUUCUCCCUGAGCCUUUAAGGCUCCUGAAGGGACGUUGAAGACGACGACGUUGAUAGGCCGGGUGUGUAAGCGCAGCGAUGCGUUGAGCUUACCGGUACUAAUGACCCGUGAGGCUUAACCUU